UACGAAGGGGGCUAGCGUUGCUCGGAAUCACUGGGCGUAAAGCGCACGUAGGCGGCUUUCUAAGUCAGGGGUGAAAUCCUGGAGCUCAACUCCAGAACUGCCUUUGAUACUGGGAAUCUCGAGUCCGGAAGAGGUGAGUGGAACUGCGAGUGUAGAGGUGAAAUUCGUAGAUAUUCGCAAGAACACCAGUGGCGAAGGCGGCUCACUGGUCCGGUACUGACGCUGAGGUGCGAAAGCGUGGGGAGCGAACGAGG
rnacentral:rRNA from 1 species